GAUGAACGCUGGCGGCGUGCUUAACACAUGCAAGUCGAACGAUGAAGCCCAGCUUGCUGGGUGGAUUAGUGGCGAACGGGUGAGUAACACGUGAGUAACCUGCCCUUGACUCUGGGAUAAGCCUGGGAAACUGGGUCUAAUACUGGAUAUGACUUCUCAUCGCAUGGUGGGGGGUGGAAAGAUUUAUUGGUCUUGGAUGGACUCGCGGCCUAUCAGCUUGUUGGUGAGGUAAUGGCUCACCAAGGCGACGACGGGUAGCCGGCCUGAGAGGGUGACCGGCCACACUGGGACUGAGACACGGCCCAGACUCCUACGGGAGGCAGCAGUGGGGAAUAUUGCACAAUGGGCGCAAGCCUGAUGCAGCGACGUCGCGUGAGGGAUGACGGCCUUCGGGUUGUAAACCUCUUUCAGUAGGGAAGAAGCGAGAGCGACGGUACCUGCAGAAGAAGCGCCGGCUAACUACGUG
rnacentral:rRNA from 1 species